rnacentral:rRNA from 1 species
AGAGUUUGAUCAUGGCUCAGAGCGAACGCUGGCGGCAUGCUUAACACAUGCAAGUCGCACGGGCAGCUUCGGCUGUCAGUGGCGGACGGGUGAGUAACGCGUAGGUAUCUAUCCUUGGGUGGGGGACAACUGUGGGAAACUACAGCUAAUACCGCAUGACGACUGAGGUCCAAAGCAGCGAUGCGCCUGGGGAGGAGCCU